UGCUUUGGGAGGGAGGAGGCCUCAGAGUCCUUAAAAUGAAAAUUUUCUUUGUGUUGAUCAUAUCUAUUCCUGUCCAGUUUUUCAUCAACUGCUGUGUUGACACACAGAACGAGUGUUGGAACACUGGCUGGCUUAAGAUACUUUAAAAUCCAGGGUCCACAAUAAUUUACACAUGGAAAGGAAAGCAGCUGAAUCUAUCUUUCAUAUAAUUCAACUCACAGAUACUGCUUCUUGAGUAAAAUCAGAACCACUGAAAAAUGUUAAGGCUCUUUCAUUAACCAACUCACCAAAUUAACCCCUUUCACCUUUCCUAGACAAAUGCUUGAAGCAGUAUCCUUGCAUAUAAUUAUAAUUUCUCUGCAUUUAUAUAACUUGCUCCAGACCCUUCCAGUUCUUUUAGGCCACAUCUGAUGAAGGAAAACAUUAAAGUGAUUUAUACUGAA